rnacentral:siRNA from 1 species
AGACACAUUUGUACAAUGGUGUAC